UCUUAGAGCAUCUAAAAAUAAAGCAGGCAUCAAGAGAGCAUCCCAGCAGUGCCAUCACAACACAGGGCUCGAAUGUGGACAGGAGGAGGACCUAAGUGGACCCGGAGGCUGAGCUGGCCUCGCAGCACUGGUGGUGGGGGAGGGCUGAUGGUCAGGACUCUGGGUCUUUGGCACUGCUGCCUAGGCCGUGGCCCUCAGUCUGCCCAUCUGUGAAAUGAGGGGGAGCUGGUCCUGACUGCCUCCCAGGGACCCUGUGAAAAGCCGCUCUGAACUCCUUGCCAGAGAGGAGGUUUGCCGGUGCCACAAUCCAGGUCUGUGGGUUUCCCUAUCAAGCUGGUCUUUCUGUAAUAAGCAGGGAGACAAAGGAUUUUGGGGUCCCCACUAUGAUGUAAACCCUGUGCUGGGUGGGGUAGGGGUUCAGAAGCAGAAGUUGUGUUUUCAGCCUCAGGGAGCUCUAGUGGAGAGACAAGAUUCGUGCAUGAAAUAAUUACGACUGUUGUAGAAAAAAGAAAAGCCUGUAGGUCUCCCUUCCUCCCUCCUUCUCUCUGUCUACCUCAGCAUUUCUGGGGUUCACUCUGCUCUGGGUACUGUGUAAAGGACUCCACAGCCAUCAACUUCCCUUCAUCCUUGCCGUGUCUUUGAAAGAGCUGAGAUUUCUUUACAUCACAGUGGUUCAAGGAGAAAAACACAGCCAGAUCCUUCCUCAUCUCAACAUAAAUUAAACCCAGAGGCAGUCAGCGCCACAGUCCACACUCGUAACCGUUACACUCACCUGGAAAUAAAAGUAUUUUUGUGCGGGGACUGCAAGGACUAAGCCCGGCCGCACUCCGAGUUUCUCCUCCUCACAGUGACUCAUUGCUCAGGUGAGGAAACUGAGGCUCAGAGAGGGUCCGUGGCAUGUCCAAGGUUACUCUGCUGUGUCCCCAGAGGCAAGGAACUAUGUGAGCCACUCCAGUGUUCCCAGCCCCAAGGCCAGGCACAGUGGACAUUUAUUGCUGAAUGAAUGAAUCAAGAGAGAGGAUCAGAAAGCUGCAGAGGAUGAUAGAUCUGCAAAAUUCUCCCUGGGUGAGGCCCAGGCUCAGCUUCCAGAACAGCUCCAUCUGUCUCCCACUCACUGAGAUUGAACUAAUGUCCCACAGUUGGACAGACCUGAAAUUGAGCUCUGUGAUUUUGGACUGGAUGAUGAGAGGCACAGCUGAGUCCGGAGCAGACUGAGCCACCUAAGAGGGGAGGAACCGCUGCAGAGAAACCGUGUUAAGCCUUUUUGAAGUUCCAGAGGGAGAACAAGAGAGCGGAGGCUCCUGGUGGCUGGUGACAGGUGCUGAUUUGUUCUGGGGAAAGAGCACAGAAAAGUGCCUGGAGAGGAGGCGGGGCCAAAAUGGGAUGUAGGCGAUGGGAAGGACCCUCAAGACACAGUCCUGGGCUCCCAGGCAGGACCAACCCCCAAACCUGUCCCCCCAGGAGCCUGCAGAGCCACUGCCCUGACAGGGGACACCUCACUUCCUCUCCUUGCAGCUGCUCUUGGCUGGGAGAGCAGAGAACAGGGGACAGGAGAGAAGCCCCGAGAGUACUGAAGCUGAGGCUGGGGCGGUCUUCACUUCCCUCUUUCCUCGGCCCUUUUCCUGUUCUCUUGUCUUGUCUCUCUUUCUCUACUUUCCUUCUCCCUAGCCCAGUCUCUCACCGCUCUUCAGCCUCUGGGCCUUUCCUUCUUCCUCUCUUGCCCUCAUUCUUCCUUCUCUGUCCCUCUUGUCUUCUCUUUUACCUCUUCUCUUCUUCCCUCCUUCCUACAGCUAUGCCCUCUUCCCUCCUUUCUCUUGUCCCCAACCAGGGCAUUAGAAAUGCAUUCCAGUUACACUGAUCUGAUCACUGCAUAUUGUAUGCAUGCAUCAAAAUAUCACAUGUACCCCAGAAAUAUGUAAAUUACUGCAUAUCAAUAAAAAGAAAUGUAGCUUCUUUGCCUCACAUACAGAAAAGCCAAUCUGAAGUAUAAAUAAAUAAACAAACAAAUAAAUAAAACGAACCACACUGGCCCCCCCGCCGCCUCCCAGCCAUCAUCUGGGCCUGCCACUAUUUGCUCAGGGUAUCUAAACAUCAGCCAAAAUCAAAGAAAAAGUUUUAAAAUCUAUUGUUAAAAAUUUCCAAGGCUAAGUUGACAUGCAUGUACAAUAGCAUUUCCCAAACUGUGACUUAAUAAACUCCAAGCCUUCAAGUUGGGAGAGGUGGUUCCAUGAUACCGUUAAAAGCACAGACUGAAGCCCAUCUGCCUGGGUUUAAAUCCUUGCUCUGCAGCAUGAUAGUUAUGUGACC
rnacentral:lncRNA from 1 species